rnacentral:lncRNA from 1 species
AACGUAGAGUGAGUUCGAAUAGUUACUUUUUGGAACGUUGGACACUCCUUUGUUACAUUGAAACAAAACCGGUUACAUUGGUUUCAACUUUGUAAAAACUAUCAGUCGGCUACGUUAUUUCACCUUAAACUAAUCCCAGGCUUCCUGAAACACACAAGCAUCUUCACGAAUGCAUUGUUCCCAAUACCCAGAGAGGGAGGGCUACAAGACUUCACCGAUGCAAGAAAACAACCUGAAAAACAAAGACCCUAAACAACUACGGAGAGCAUAUCGUAUCCUAAUCUGCA